AGUGAACGCUGGCGGUAGGCCUAACACAUGCAAGUCGAACGGCAGCACAGUAAGAGCUUGCUCUUACGGGUGGCGAGUGGCGGACGGGUGAGGAAUACAUCGGAAUCUACUUUUUCGUGGGGGAUAACGUAGGGAAACUUACGCUAAUACCGCAUACGACCUACGGGUGAAAGCAGGGGAUCUUCGGACCUUGCGCGACUGAAUGAGCCGAUGUCGGAUUAGCUAGUUGGCGGGGUAAAGGCCCACCAAGGCGACGAUCCGUAGCUGGUCUGAGAGGAUGAUCAGCCACACUGGAACUGAGACACGGUCCAGACUCCUACGGGAGGCAGCAGUGGGGAAUAUUGGACAAUGGGCGCAAGCCUGAUCCAGCCAUACCGCGUGGGUGAAGAAGGCCUUCGGGUUGUAAAGCCCUUUUGUUGGGAAAGAAAUCCAGCCGGCUAAUACCUGGUUGGGAUGACGGUACCCAAAGAAUAAGCACCGGCUAACUUCGUGCCAGCAGCCGCAGUAA
rnacentral:rRNA from 1 species